CAAUCUUAAAGAACAGAGAAAGCUUCUAGGGCUGAUUACUCAGUUUUCUUUUCCCAAAACUAUACCUGAUGCGCACCUUGAAAACCAGAACAAAUGGCGAGAUCAUUAUGGCUUCUUUCUCUCAGUCUAAAAGUUCUAUAACAUCCAAUAUGUGAUUAUUGUUUUUGACCUAGAGAUGGGGGAAUGGUGCCUUUUGGAUAGUUGCCAAUAAAAGCAUUUGCUUGUAGCUUCUACAUUAAAAGAGCCCUCUGUC